GACGAACGCUGGCGGCGUGCCUAAUACAUGCAAGUAGAACGAAGUUGCGCACGGGUGAGUAACGCGUCGGUAACUGCCUAAUAGCGGGGGAGAACUAUUGGAAACGAUAACUAAUACCGCAUACUGUGAGAUGGACCUGCGUUGUAUUAGCUAGUUGGGGAAGUAAAGGCUCACCAAGGCGACGAUACAUAGCCGACCUGAUAGGGGGAUCGGCCACACUGUGACGUAGACCCGGCUCAUAUGCCUACGGGAGGCAGCAGUAGGGAAUCUUCGGCAAUGGACGGAAGUCUGACCGAGCAACGCCGCGGGAGUGAAGAAGGUUUUCGGAUCGUAAAGCUCUGUUGUUAUAGAAGCGGUAAUUAACCAGAAAGGGACGGCUAACUACGUGCCAGCAGCCGCGGUAAUAC
rnacentral:rRNA from 1 species